rnacentral:misc_RNA from 1 species
CGGCCCCCUUACACAUUCCAAGGAAACAAGCGAGAGAUAAAGUGUGCGCGUGUGCAUGUCUUCCAUGAGCUCAAGCGACGAUGCUCCGCCGCACAAACGCCUCGCCUCAGAGCAGUCCAAGCGUGACAGCUGCACCCAUGUUGGUGCCCGAGAACACAUCCACGACGCCCCAGCGCUAAGCGCGCGCGCACGCUUUCUGCGAGAGCUGGAGCGGUACGCGAGCGAUGACGAUGAUUAUGGCGGCAACGGGGGCGCCGUUGUCGUCGGUGCAGGGCCCAUGCGGCAGCCGGAACACGCAAACGGAACACCACAGAGGAGAUCCGCAUCCCCGCUGGCAUCGGCCACUCGCGCUGCUGCGCCUUCUGUCGGCCCAUCAAGCAGCUCAGACUUCUUCUUCGGUGGCGAAGGUGACCCGCACGACGAAGCGGAUGACGAAGCCGUCGGUGAUGAUGCGGUGUGGAGCACGGCAUCCGCUGCCUCGCUAGCGAGAACCCUCAACGGUGUCCCCGUCACUGGCUCCACCAACGACAGCAGCACAACAGGCGGCCGUGCAGCACCGUCUCGGGUUGGCCUGCAGCUGCUGCAUCGCAUGCACGCGCUCAACACAUCCGGCGACCGCAGAAGCAGCAGCCACGGCCCCGCCGUUCAUUCCGCCGCAACGAGUGCAAAAGUGAUGAUACCCCAGACGUCAUCCACACCGACGUCAUCUGGUGACUUCGAGGUCGUUCACGCGUAUGUGCCACUGAGCACAGGCGGCUUCCUGAGCACGGCCAACGCGGAGCAUGACGCAAUGGAAGGGCAUCAGGUGCGCAUCGGCGACGUUCUCUCUCUGCGGAAGCCUCUCAGCUGCGCAGACCCACCAUCGAGCAGCGCAGUGGCGAGUGCGCCUGCCUCAUCCCCUUCAACUUCAACUGCCACUCCGUCAACCGUAGCCCCCACCCUCACCACCGGCGCGGCGGCGGCUGGUGCGUCGGCCACCGGCUCGCUAGUGGAGGACGUUGCGCAGAAAGCGAUGCGUCACUUCAAGAGCGCCGCCACCUUCACCUCCGAGGAGCAGAAAUAUGGCCGGAAACUCACCCCCGAUAUGGUGCACCUGCUCUUCGAGGUCACGCGGGUGGAUUAUCAAGGACGCAGCAUCGAGGCGCUCUUCCUGGACGGCACACGCGCGAAGGUAUCCUUCUUCGAGGUGCGGCCGGCAGGGUACGUGGAGCGGAAAAUGCACGCGACGUGGAAGGCCGAUCCAGCAAGUCGCCCUGUGGCCAUCAUCCAUAGCAACGCGUCGUCGCCGACCACGUCGUCGGCCCCAAACGGAGCCGUGUUGCCGUCCUCCGCGCCGUCACCUGCGCUCCCGCCACCGCCGUCAGUCACCGCUGCCGCGUGGUGGGUGAUCCCGCAUCUUCUCGUGCGUGUCACGACGGAGGCGGCCGGCGACUGGUACGGCAAGAAAUGCGUCGUGAAGACCGUGCAGCGAAGCGAGAACCGCGUCCGGCUGAUGGAAUGGGUGGAGGAGGGCCGCAGCGGCAGCGGUGAGAGCGGCAGCAGGAGCUUCCACAACUGCGGUAAGCCGAAGGCGGCCACGGCUGACACUCGAGAGCUGAUAGGGGUGGACGGGCUUGAGACGGUGGUUCCCAAGAAGGGUGGUCGUGCCAUGGUGGUACUGGGAAGCCGGCGAGGCGAAAUGUGCACCGUUCGCAACCGCAUUCGUGGUGCUGAUGGUGAGUUGGCGGCCGUCGAAGUGGAGAUCAACCGAACAAAGGAGGUGAUGACGCUACAGGCGGGCGAGCUGUGUGCCCUGGCGCGCUGAGUCCAGCGCUCUCUGCCUGUCUAUCGCGGAUGCCGAUGGCUGUUGCUGCGCUCUUCCUUGUCCAUACUCGCCCAACCCCACCACCACCACCACCACCUGUCCACCUUGCUUUCCUAGCCCCUAUGUGCUUUCAGCCCUGACUCUCUGACCGACUCACAUGAUCAAGACACGGGACAGACGAAGCGCAUGGAGAGUAUGCAGUAGACCAUGGGCGCACUGUCACCACCACCCGGCCCCUGCCCCCGUGCAAGACACGCGUGCACACGUGCAUGCGCAUUCCCUCCAUCAGAGCAUAUGCAUCUAAAGCAUACAAGAGUGCGGCACGAGUACCAGCACAGACAGGCAGACGCGCAGAUGCGCUCUACCGCGACAUUCCUCCAUCAGCUGCAGCCCCCCUCCCCAAUUCAUCCACACCUCUGCCCUG